rnacentral:rRNA from 1 species
UACGUAGGGAGCAAGCGUUGUUCGGAUUUACUGGGCGUAAAGCGUGCGCAGGCGGUUUUGUAAGCCAGAUGUGAAAUCCCCGGGCUUAACCUGGGAAUGGCAUUUGGGACUGCAAGGCUGGAGUACGGCAGAGGGAGGUGGAAUUCCACGUGUAGCAGUGAAAUGCGUAGAGAUGUGGAGGAACACCGAUGGCGAAGGCAGCCUCCUGGGCUAGUACUGACGCUCAUGCACGAAAGCGUGGGGAGCAAACAGG